rnacentral:misc_RNA from 1 species
UCUGUAGGCGCGGGAGGGA